CUGGUGUGGGUGUGUUUGUGUGGGUGUGUAUGCAUCCAUACGUGCCUAGCGUGUCAGUGGAAUGAUGAAUGGGCAGAGAGGGGUGUGACUGUCAGAGGAAGCAGUACACCAGUGAAAUGAGAGCAGUAUCUCCCCACCAGCACGUCUCCACUGAGAGGGCGAGAAAAGAGAAGGAAUAAGGAGAGAUUGGCCACAGGAGUUAAAUCAUUUGUGUACAGCCAACCCUAGCCUUGUUAUCAUUGUGAACCUAACUGUGGACAGCCCAACCAUGGAGCAGAAGAUCAAUGAAUGCCCCACCACCACGUCCCCCCAGAAACAAUUGAAGAACCGGUCCAAAUCCAGUGACACGAUCCAGCCCACCAAGAGGCUUUCCUCACAGAAAUCCCUUCCAGGUGGGCCGGACCUGGACAAAGUCAAGGAGGGUCCAGAAGGUUCUGAGACGCCCUCGUCCUCUACAGAGGAGCUGAAGUGACGACGGCUGGGGUCCGGCAGGAAUAUCGGGCCAUGAGCCUUCCAUCUGCUCAUUAACAUGCACACAUUCAUAGACUCACAUGCCUUUACACAUUUACUUAAAAGCAAACACUGCAUUGAUAAACUGAGUUGGUGAGUAACUAGAGAAACAUAUACACAUCACUUUACUGUUCUGUACGUACCAAACUGAAUGUGCAAUAAAGCAAUGCCAUUGA